CAUUAACUAUAGACGAUAAGCAAUAAAUAGUUAUACCAUGGCCACAGAAAAUACUCAUAAUUGAUUAUUUAAUUCUGUUAAAUUCGUUUCUGGAUUCUGAUUGGUCAGAAGGUGUCAGAAGCUCGGACAGUGGUGUAGCUGCAAAUCACAGGUUUAUACAUAUUAUACAUGUUUAAACAUAUUAAUGCACACAUUCUAAUAUGUCAUCGUCUCCAUAGUAACAUCGUAAACAGGGACUUGUAUGACGGAAGUUCCACAUAAAUAGGUUAAAAACGUGUGCUUUUCUUGAUAUGGUGAAAUAUUCAGUCAGGAAACGUUUCUCGAGUACUUAUGGAAGGAGUCUUCAGUGUCAGCACUUUGUAACAAUCAGAGAGAGAGAGAAAAGAAAGUCUGGUGUGGGAACGACUGCUUAUAGCUGCUGUAAUGAAAGGAAACAACGUCAGGGCCAUGGUAUAAUCAAGAGAGCCUUCACUGAAGUAACAGACUUAACAUAAUGCUGCACAUGUCUCAGGUGUUAGCUCUUACAUAAUAAAUAAUGUCAUGUUAAAAUGAAUAUGUAAAAAAAGAAAAAAAAAAUCCUCUGAAAGCCCCAUGUCAGUGAUGUUAUCCAGUAUGUGAUUGUUUUGAGUAAAUGUUGUUGAAUUACAUUUAGAUGAGUCAUCUUAGCUGUUCAUCACAUUAAUUAAUGUCAUAAUACUAUUAAGAGGGUGAGUCGAAUGAAAACCAUAAUUUUUUUUAUUUUGAAAUGUUUAUUGCAAAUAGGUGUCACGAAACCAUAUCUACUAGGGAUGGGCGAUAUCUUAUCGUUUGCGAUUUACCGGUAGAAAUUAUCUUCACAAUAAGAAUUACGAUAAUAACGAUAAAGCCUAGUUGAUGACGUAUUUCUGUGUGUGACCCAUUCGCAGCUUAUGUGCAGAGCGAAAAUAAGUACGGUGGUAGGCGGACAUGAAGCUGAGGAGGAUUUCAUCGCUAAACGAGGAGCUACUGUACCUCUACAAUCUGGAACUGGAUUGGUUAUAGAAAAUCAGUUUUAUUUUUGGAUCAAUGUUUAUGUUUUUGAGGCUCUCAAGAUCACAGCUAUCACUUGUAGCCCAAAACAGUGGUGCAUGGUACUAUAUUUAUAUCGUCACUGAUAUCGUUAUCGCAAUAAAUACCAGAAAAUAUCAUGAUAUUGUUUUAAGUCCAUAUCGCCCAUCCCUAAUAUCUACAUCUCCAUUUUCUUCAUGUUAAGUGUUACAACGCUUAACCGGUGCAUGGAUCCCUGGAUUCACUUCAACUGGAUCAUUUCAGUUCGAUUCAGUUUUAAAUUAUCACACGUUUUUAGGUUUCUCAUUUGACUCAACCGCGUACUGUAUGAGCAAAAAGCACGUUUAUUAUUUAUCUCUUAUUUUUCUACUGUAGCAUUUAUGAGAAUGAGCAAACUGAGAAUUUCAUAGUACAACUGGAAGACAGCAUCCUCAACGUCGACCUGCAACCAGAGGAAAGGAUCAUCAAACCCAGCAUUCAGGAAAGAUGUUUUUAUUUUUUUAUUUUGUUAUAGAUCCUAUAAUAAUGUAAUUCUAACUUAUUAUAACAUUAUUAUCACAUUAUCACACAUCAAAUGCCAUUGGCUCCUUAAAGUCCUUAAUGCUACGGUAGCUUUAAUAAUAGCCUAGUAUAGACAUUGAGUUACUCAGUACUGACUAUUCAAUCUUCAAAAUUUGAUUUAUAUAGCGGUUUUAAUAGUAGACAUUGUCAUAAAGCAGAUUUGCAGAAAUCCAGAUGUUCUAUACCUAAUGAAAAAGCCAGACGUGAGAUUGGAAAGGAAAAACUCCCUGAGAGGGCAUGAGUAAGAACCCUUGACAGGACUCAAAUGGAACUGGUUUGAACACAUGCGCAUUCGCACAACCACACACACACACACACACACACACACACACAUACACACACACUGCACCCACAUGCACCCAUACUUGCCAUUGUCUGCAGUGCAAGCUGUGGCAGUCCAUGGGGGACUGCAGACUGCGACAGCUGCGAUACAGACACAGAAACAGAAAGAAAGACAAAAAGGAUGAAGUGGAGAAUCAAAGGAAAGGAGAAGAAAAAGACAAAAGGAAACAGGAAGAAAGUGUGAUUUUAACUCAGAGUGUAACUCAAAUUUCAGCCCUCAAGAUUUCAGCCCUCAAUACUGCCACCUGUGUGUUUGUGUGUAUGUGUGUGUGUAUGUUCCUCACCUGGAAUCAAACUCAUUUUGUAGACACAUUGACGGCAGUAAGAUUUGAGGUGUCCCUCGAGAUGAUGACAUCUAAUCAAAACACAUCAAAUUUGAACCUGAAAAUCUGAAAUUUCUUUGUUUCUUUCUUUCAUCCUUCUUUUAUCUCUCUCUCUCUCUCUCUCUCUCUUAAUGUAGAAAAGCUUUUUUUUACUUAAAGCAGUGUUUGUUUAAUUUGGCCUAUUUAAUGUCCUAAACAAACAUAUAAUUUCAUAUAAUUUCAAGCCAACAAUAGCUUUCUAGGUUUAAUUGCAGAUAAUUCCUCUUCUUUCAGUAAAAGAAUUAUUGAAAUACAAUCAAUAAUAUCUUUGUAUAUACAGUAAAUAAAAAAUUAUAUUCAGCAUAUAGAAAAUAUCUUGAAUAUCAUUUUUUAUUAAUUAAAAAAUGUGUGAUGAUUUGGACAUGUACUUUUGUACAAAGGUAAACUGGAAGCUGUGAGCUUAAUGUAGCUGAUUACCUGUUACACUGUGCAACCCAUCUCUGAAUAUACAGAACUUUCCCCACUUCAACAUUAAUUUCUCAGUUUAGUUCAAAAUUAGCUUUUGUGUGUAUGAGAUUACAUAUGAAGGCACCAAUGAUAAAACGAUCAGUCACAUUGUGCUUGAAUUCCAGAAUUUGAAUUUAAAAGUUCAGAACCUUCUUAUGUCAUAAUAGUUGAGAACAGAGAAAAUCUCGAUGAUAUGUUCACUAGACCCAUUCAUCGUCUUUAUGAAGACACCAAAAGUUAUGCGCCAUUAUUGUUUACAUUGUGUUAAUUGAAGCAUGAAAAAAUGCUUCAAAAAUACUCUGAUCUUUCUUUCAUGGGUAUUCACAGUAAUACAGUGAUGAACUUAUACUAAUUUAUUCAACUGAGCAUCAUCAACAUCACUUAAAUACUGAAAACUCACAGAAUAUACAUAUUAUUAGAUUAUUAUAUUAAUAUUUCAGCAAUUACUAAUGAGACAUGUUGAAGAAAUUCGACAGUAAGUUAACAAUGAAAUUCACUCAGCUGGGUGUUCGCCAUUACUCAAAGCCUAUUGGCCGAUUUUGGUCAUGUGACUGGAAUGUGAUCAUUUUUCCAUAGCAUGACUUUAUUUUAAAUGGAAAAUUCUUUGACCCUGAUCUUUCUAACAUCCAAGCACAUUUAUGAGAUCAUUCUUCAAUGCUCGAUCAACAGCCGUGGAUGCACAACUCCAAAAAUACAGUUUUGUGACUCUGAUCGUUUUUUCAUUAUGGUCUUCAUAUAUAUUCAUAUCUUAUGCACGUGACACCAAACUACACACAUAAAAGCUUUAUUUAAAAAACAUUUUUUCAUGCUAUUCUAUAAAAGUUAGUCCUGUGUGUUUAGAGGCGAGUUUAGAGGCGAACCUGCAGGCUGGACCUGACGAUGUCUGAGUGAGCCUUCUGGGGCAGCGCACGCGUCCUCAGAGACCCACUCAGAUCCUCCUCACUGCUGCCACAGAGCAACCGAUCACCACACACUGUAUACAACAAACACACACAGAGAGAGACAGAAUGAGAGAGGGAGAGACAGAGAGACAGAGAGAAAGAGAGAGAGACAGAGAGAGAAAGAGAGAGAGAGAGAGAGACAGAGAGAGAGAGAGAGAGAGAGAGAGAGAGAGAGAGAGAGAGAGAGUGUAAAAUGGUGUAUAAACUGCACUAUAGAUCCACAUUUAUACUGAAAUUAACUGAAAUAAAAUGGGGCAUUUGCUGUUUGUGUCUGAUAUUUAAAGGUGCAUUGGGUAAGAUUAGUCUUUUUUUUCUUGCAAAAUUAGGCCUUAGUUAGGUGGGUUAAAUUUUUUAAUGAUUCCCGUCCAUGUUCACAAAGCUCCACCUCCUGGAUCGAUGGUGGCCCAUAGGGUACAGUGCCUAUGAAACGACUGAAGGGAGGUGCAUCCAAACACAGACAAGCUUUCCGGACCCAAAGCCAGUUUUAGAAAGCUUUUUUUUCUCAGUGACUUAAUAAAUUUUUGCUAAAUCCAUGGCUUAAUACAUGGCUUAAGCCACUGUUUAUUUGUUUUUAAAUCAUGUUCUACAUAUCUUCUUGGUUAUUUGUACAAGUAAAGAAUAAUAAUAAAAAAAAAUCGACUAUUGCACCUUUAAAAAGUAAUAAAAAUAAAAUGUAUUAAUACACACA